ACUUUUACUCAUGGUGGAAGGCAAAGUAGGAGCAGCUCCUCCAUUAACCCCUGCAGAGUAUUCACUGACUGCUGAAACUAGAGCAUCACUGAGAAGCAAGAGAUAGACUGACCUAACUAGAGGGAGAGCUGCCAUCCAGGAUGAUGCCACCAUCACAGGAGGUGAGAAGGAACACAGCAUCUUCUGCAAAUGCUACAGUAAAUAGGGACGGGGUGCAGCAAUGUGAGGAAAGUGGAAUGAACUUGGACUUUGAAGGCAAACUAACCUGGAAUCAAAUACUGGCUCUGCUGUUUGCAAGUGUGAUCUUUGGGUAUGCUUCCUAAUCUGUGAGCUUCAACUUCCUCCUCUGUAAACCAAGAUCAAAGACAAACAGGGAAACCUACUUGUCUGGUGCCCAUCCCCUUGGCAGAACACUCCUCUGAAGGAUGACAGUUUGGCUGUGCCAGGGCAGAGCUGCCGACACCAAAUGAGCCUUCAUAGCA
rnacentral:lncRNA from 10 species